rnacentral:rRNA from 1 species
AUGAACGCUGGCGGCGUGCCUAAGACAUGCAAGUCGAGUGGGUUUAGACCCACGGCGAACGGGUGAGUAAUACCUAGGAAUGUUUCUUAAGUCGAGCAUACGCAACCGAAAGGUUGUACAAUUCUCGAUGUGGUCGUAAGACUAAAGUCGCAAGACGCUUAAGGUGCAGCCUGGGCACCAUCAGCUAGUUGGUAAGGUAAAAGCUUACCAAGGCUAUGACGGUUAGGGGCCCCGAGAGGGGAAACCCCCACACUGGGACUGCGACACGGCCCAGACUCCUACGGGAGGCAGCAGUUUGGAAUUUUGGACAAUGGGCGAAAGCCUGAUCCAGCGACGCCGCGUGGACGAUGAAGGCCUUCGGGUCGUAAAGUCCUUUUACUAGGGAACAAUUUUUGAGCGUACCUAGAGAAUAAGAGGUUGCUAACUCUGU